UACGUAGGGUGCAAGCGUUGUCCGGAAUUAUUGGGCGUAAAGAGCUCGUAGGCGGUUUGUCGCGUCUGCUGUGAAAGCCCCGGGCUCAACCUGGGAAUGGCGGUUGAAACUAGUCGACUAGAAUCUGGCAGAGGGGGGUGGAAUUCCACGUGUAGCAGUGAAAUGCGUAGAGAUGUGGAGGAACACCGAUGGCGAAGGCAGCCCCCUGGGCUGAGAUUGACGCUCAGGCACGAAAGCGUGGGGAGCAAACAGG
rnacentral:rRNA from 1 species